rnacentral:snRNA from 1 species
GUUCUGGCUCUGGUGGUAUAGACAAUACAAUAGGAAUGAUGCUGAAAUUAUCAUGGCCCACGCAAAAGGAUGACACACUAAUUUGUGAAGUGUCCUUUAUUUUA